GCUGGGCAUGAUGGUACAUGCCUGUAGUCCCAGCUACUCAGGAAGCUGAGGCAGGAGGAUUGCUUGAGCUCAGGAGGUCGAGACUGCAGUGAGCCAUGAUGGUGCCACUGCACCCUAGCCUGGGUGACAGAGUGAGAUCUUGUCUCAA
ensembl:misc_RNA Metazoa_SRP Metazoan signal recognition particle RNA